AUAGAGAAAGCUUGCUUUUUCUAGGCGUCGACCGGCGCACGGGUGAGUAACGCGUAUCCAACCUGCCCACCACUUGGGAAUAACCUUGCGAAAGUAAGACUAAUACCCAAUGAUAUCUCUAGAAGACAUCUGAAGGAGAUUAAAGAUUUAUCGGUGAUGGAUGGGGAUGCGUCUGAUUAGCUUGUUGGCGGGGUAACGGCCCACCAAGGCGACGAUCAGUAGGGGUUCUGAGGGGAAGGUCCCCCACAUUGGAACUGAGACACGGUCCAAACUCCUACGGGAGGCAGCAGUGAGGAAUAUUGGUCAAUGGGCGAGAGCCUGAACCAGCCAAGUAGCGUGCAGGAAGACGGCCCUAUGGGUUGUAAACUGCUUUUAUAAGGGAAUAAAGUGAGUCUCGUGAGGCUUUUUGCAUGUACCUUAUGAAUAAGGACCGGCUAAUUCCGUGCCAGCAGCCGCGGUAAUACGGAAGGUCCGGGCGUUAUCCGGAUUUAUUGGGUUUAAAGGGAGCGUAGGCCGGAGAUUAAGCGUGUUGUGAAAUGUAGAUGCUCAACGUCUGCACUGCAGCGCGAACUGGUUUCCUUGAGUACGCACAAAGUGGGCGGAAUUCGUGGUGUAGCGGUGAAAUGCUUAGAUAUCACGAAGAACGCCGAUUGCGAAGGCAGCUCACUGGAGCGCAACUGACGCUGAAGCUCGAAAGUGCGGGUAUCGAACAGGAUUAGAUACCCUGGUAGUCCGCACGGUAAACGAUGGAUGCCCGCUGUUGGCCUGAAUAGGUCAGCGGCCAAGCGAAAGCAUUAAGCAUCCCACCUGGGGAGUACGCCGGCAACGGUGCAACUCAAAUGAAUUGACGG
rnacentral:rRNA from 1 species